rnacentral:rRNA from 2 species
AGGUGCUUGCAUCUUGAUUUGAUUUUGAACGAGUGGCGGACGGGUGAGUAACACGUGGGUAACCUGCCCUUAAGUGGGGGAUAACAUUUGGAAACAGAUGCUAAUACCGCAUAAAUCCAAGAACCGCAUGGUUCUUGGCUGAAAGAUGGCGUAAGCUAUCGCUUUUGGAUGGACCCGCGGCGUAUUAGCUAGUUGGUGAGGUAACGGCUCACCAAGGCAAUGAUACGUAGCCGAACUGAGAGGUUGAUCGGCCACAUUGGGACUGAGACACGGCCCAAACUCCUACGGGAGGCAGCAGUAGGGAAUCUUCCACAAUGGACGCAAGUCUGAUGGAGCAACGCCGCGUGAGUGAAGAAGGCUUUCGGGUCGUAAAACUCUGUUGUUGGAGAAGAAUGGUCGGCAGAGUAACUGUUGUCGGCGUGACGGUAUCCAACCAGAAAGCCACGGCUAACUACGUGCCAGCAGCCGCGGUAAUACGUAGGUGGCAAGCGUUAUCCGGAUUUAUUGGGCGUAAAGCGAGCGCAGGCGGUUUUUUAAGUCUGAUGUGAAAGCCCUCGGCUUAACCGAGGAAGUGCAUCGGAAACUGGGAAACUUGAGUGCAGAAGAGGACAGUGGAACUCCAUGUGUAGCGGUGAAAUGCGUAGAUAUAUGGAAGAACACCAGUGGCGAAGGCGGCUGUCUGGUCUGUAACUGACGCUGAGGCUCGAAAGCA